UACGGAGGAUGCGAGCGUUAUCCGGAUUUAUUGGGUUUAAAGGGUGCGUAGGCGGAACAUUAAGUCAGCGGUAAAAUCGAGGGGCUCAACCCCUUUAAGCCGUUGAAACUGUGUCCCUUGAGUGCGCGAAGGGUAGGCGGAAUGCGUGGUGUAGCGGUGAAAUGCAUAGAUAUCACGCAGAACUCCGAUCGCGAAGGCAGCCUACCGGCGCGCAACUGACGCUCAUGCACGAAAGCGUGGGUAUCGAACAGG
rnacentral:rRNA from 1 species